CUGCGGUCUGCGGGGAGGGGACGUCCGGGCGUCGCCUUGAGGGCGACGCCGCUGGCGUACCGGCCGGCCGCGACCGCUGCCGCACC
rnacentral:tRNA from 1 species